GCCGUGCCAGCGCCUGAAGAUUCACACUAGCAGUACUUUCUUUUUUUUCUUCCCUUUUUCUUUUUCUGUUUUCUCGAGGGAUACGUAGUAAUAAUAGAAGGAUUAAACGACUAACCAAGUUGCAAUACUUUUGUAUUUCAAUCGUUAGCUAAUUAGCUUAUACUAUACGUUAAUCGUGAGCUGAACUAGUACAUCAUCGUUGAAGUAAUCGACUAGUAAUUAGUACUCCAAUAAUAACAGAAGUAGUAACCAUUAUUGGACUACUAGUGCAGUCUGCCAUUACGUUUAUAGAAGGACAACGCAAAUGAACGGAAAUCUUUGUACUUUAAAAAAAUUAUGAAUAAAAAAUUUAUAUACAUAUUUUUAAGUCAAGGCA
rnacentral:lncRNA from 1 species